CUGGCAGAGUGAAAGAGAGGAAAGGCAUGUGGAUUUAAGGAGGGUGUUUAGAUCAAGAACUUAAGAGAGGCUGGGAAGUGUCAUAGGAUUAAGGGAUCUAUGCAAGCUUGUAUGGGUAUUUCCACUUGUGCUGUCCUCACACCUUCUCUGAGAGAUUUUUGUCCCAAACACAAGGACUGCAUGUAUGUUGCAGGAUACAUUGCAGCGCACCACAUAGCCUUGGCUUUUGGCUGUGCCUCUACUUGUGGGGACGUGCCAGCUUGCACCAUGUGAGCACGUGCCCUGCUUUCCUUGAGAAGGAGACCUGGGUGCAGAGGGGCAGAGAAGGGGCUAAGGUGUGAUAUCUACCUUCAGGGCCACUCUGGGACACUCUGAAGUAUUACGGCCAUGGAGACUGUUUCCUCCUACAGAGUUCAACAAUGUAUUCUUCAGAAAACUACUGCAGGAUGGGAAAGCAGCCCUUGAAGAACAGGAGAGCAUCUCUGCGCUCUGGUUACAGAAGCUAUUUCUGAAGAGAAAGGACUUAGGGAGUAGCCUGGCCCAAACAGAAAAUUGUUUCCUGAUCUGUGUGAGACAUCUAAGCCGAGCUUUCUUACUCAAGGAAGAGAAGCUGGAAGAAAGGCUCCGGAUACUACAAGGAUGAGGAGAAGAACUGGUGACCCUGAGUAUUCCAUUUAGGAUGUCCUUAUUUGCUGGCGAUCUUGUGGUCAUUUUCCACAGCCACCAUCUGGGAUCUUACAAAAAGUACCGUAAGGAUGACACUGGAGCUGGAGGUGGCUGGAAGAAUCACCACAUUUAUGCUCCCUUCCCCUCUCAGUUGAGUUGGAGAGCACAUAAAGAAACCCUGGCCUGCACUCCCUAUCAAGCUUGCAGCGUAUGAUAUGUUGCUGUGGGAGUGUAACUGAUGCGCCUCAUUAGAGUUUGAGAUUGUAUACUGCUGCUCUGGGACUGAAACUACACUCAUAUCCAGUAAGAGAAUGGAAAGAAGCAUCUGCUUUUGAACUCUAGGAAACAGCAAAAAAGAGACUGACAGAAACCUGUGGUCACUGAGUGUAACGCACCUUGCUCUUCAAAGGCCCCUCCUUUUCUCACAUGCUGUCUACCAACAUAAAUAAUGCUGGCUUGUGUCACUUCUGGAAAUAACAAGGUUGGCCAUUGGUGGUUCAUGAAAAGAAGCAAGAACAGUAUGUUUUCAUGGUUUCUGUUUGUGGUCCACUGACUCCUGAGUUCAGAGAUUACUUCUGCAGGGGCUUACAGGAGGUGACUUGACCAGGACCAGCCCUGGUGAGCUAAAAUUUGCCUCUAUGAAUGUUGCCCCCCUUUAUGCCCUGCUCCUUCCAAACCAGAGAACUCACAGGCACAGAGAGCAUGCCUUCACAUUUAAAGCAGCUCUGUCAAUCUGGCACCUGACGUCUCCUGUAAAAGAAGGCCCUGUUCCCUCUCCCCUCUCUCCAGCUGCAGGUAUCCUCCCUCCUCAUAUUGGCAUUGACGAUAUGUGCCCUUAGGGUCGACUCAGCUGACAGAUUGACAUAUCUGCAGCAAACUGCUCUUUUAUUUGCAUAUUUAUUUAUGAGCAGUGAGCAGUGUUAAGUUUCUACUGGAACAAUUCUCCAUAUUGAUUUGCUCCAGGGCUGUCUGAUUGCUAGAGCCAUCCCAUGGGGAAUGGGGCAAGAGCAUCUGGCUGGGGGAGGAGAGAGGAUGAGGAGCAGGACGUCCUCCUUCUGCCUUGGCAGGACUCAAUGGGAUGCAAAACUAUAAAGAGAAGAUGAAGCUCAGUGGCAAGUAAAGCCAACCAGAGUUGGCAUUGCUGGUGCCCUGCCUGUUCCCUGUCUCCCACCCUGUACUCCUGUCCUGUCCUUGCACUAUCUCCAGGACUCAACUGAGCUGGCAGUGAAAUGACUGCAGGAGAUGACUUUGCAGAAAGCUCAACACUUCUUUGCAGUGCUCAUUGUCAGCUGCGUUGGCUGAAAUGCAUUUCUCUGGCUUGCUGCAUGUGCAGGCAAGAGCUCACCCAUCCUUGUGGAAGGGAGAAGUCAGGGCAGGGCAGGAGCACAGGUCCACAGCAGAUGGGACACAGACGAGCUUGAGGACUUUUGGAAGUGCCCCUGAGAUGUCCAGAGGAUAUCAUGAGCUCUAGCUGUGAGAUCACCUCCUAGAGAUCACCUCCCAUCCCCAAGUGUUCAGGGUAUCUCUAUUCCCACUCUCUGUUCCCACUUACUUCAGUCCACAUCAUUCUACUCUUCAGAAACAGAAGUCUCCUUUAUGGCAAGAGUUGUGGAUCGAUUUUAAAGCACACGAAGCCAGCUGAAGACAAAAUGCAUGUGACAGCUAUCACAAAACUGCAGUUUUAACAGUCUUAACUGAUGGCAGCCUAGAUGUCAGAACAGUGUCAAAAAAAGUCAGAUGCACUGCUGUGGCAAGCGUCAAAACCAGACAUGAUGAGAAGUACCCUUUCUGUACGUACACGCAUGCAUCCCAGAAGCCAGAACUGUCUUUCUGCACUUGGCCUAUAAAAACUUCUUAUGCUACACAUGCCAGUUCAGUUUUGUUUUCUUCUACAUGAUGAACAAAUGUGAGCAUUUGGGUUUAGUAAGCCACAGCUGUGCUAUACCUCUGACAGGGAUUGUGCACAAACAAAUACUCUCCAAACUAAGACAAUCUGGCCUUCUGUAACCUGGAUGCCAUAUAGGCUUUCAGAAGAUGUAAGGAGCUUGUGAAAUAGAACAGCAAGUUUAAUUAAAAAAAGCAAAAAUCAACUAUGAAAGCAACUAUGACAGUAACUAGAAGUUUAAAACAGACAACCAAACAAAAACAGAGAGUAACUAUGCCUUCUUGAGAUACAAAGAAUUAGCUGUUACAGGUUUGA